GUGUUCAUCAUCGACGUGUGGCGUGAUGGCAUAGUCUCAUUUUACAUAAAGAAACUGAAAAUAAUUUACUUUAACUGCUAAUACACAAUAGAAAUAACAAUGUUACGUGCGGCUUUCAGAUUAUCGAGCUCCUACGGGUCCACUUGUAAAGAAAUUUUGCAGUUUAAUUCAACCGUUAAAAACCGGCUACCACAAAUCAUCAAAAUGACUUACAAAACAGAACCAACCAACUUCAAAAGUCGUGCAGUCAGUGCAUACAAUGGAGGCAGCAAAGGUGGAUUCGGAGGGGGCCAAAGGAAUGGAGGCUUCAAUCAAAGAAGCAACGACAGGUGGGGCAACAAGGGAGGAUUCGGCGGAGGAGGCCGAUCCGGAGGUGCCGGAGGCCAGAUGAGACCUGUCGAAUGGGACAACAAAAAACUUCGCCCAUUCAAAAAAGAUUUUUAUGAUGAACAUGAUGUUAUCAAGGGAAGAUCAAACCAUGAAGUUCAUGAAUUUAGAUUGUCCAAACAGAUCACUGUAGAAGGUGAAGCACCAAAACCAAUUCAGAAUUUCCAUGAAGCCAAUUUCCCCGAUUAUGUUAUGGAUGCUAUUGUUGCCCAAGGGUAUGAGCAGCCUACUUCUAUUCAAGCACAGGGAUGGCCUAUUGCUAUGAGUGGAAAUGAUAUGGUUGGAAUUGCACAAACUGGAUCAGGAAAGACCCUAGCAUACAUUCUACCAGCUAUUGUCCAUAUUAACAACCAACCAGAAAUUCAGAGAGGAGACGGUCCAAUUGCUCUAAUCUUGGCCCCAACUAGAGAACUGGCACAACAAAUCCAACAAGUAGCCAAUGACUUUGGAAAAUCGUCGCAUAUCCGCAACUCCUGUGUCUUUGGAGGUGCCCCCAAGGGGCCCCAAGCCAGAGAUUUGGAAAGGGGAGUAGAAAUCUGUAUCGCAACUCCUGGACGAUUGAUUGACUUUUUGGAGAGGGGCACCACCAACUUGGAAAGGUGCACAUAUUUGGUCCUGGAUGAGGCUGACAGAAUGUUGGAUAUGGGAUUUGAACCUCAAAUUCGUAAAAUUAUCAGCCAGAUCAGGCCUGACAGGCAAACUUUGAUGUGGUCUGCCACUUGGCCCAAGGAAGUUAAGAAGUUGGCUUCUGAUUUUCUGAACACUUAUGUUCAGCUGAAUGUUGGAUCUUUGGAGUUGUCUGCUAACCAUAACAUUUUGCAAAUUGUUGAUGUUUGCCAGGAACAUGAGAAAGAAAAUAAACUGAACAACCUCUUGCAAGAAAUUGGCAACAAUGCGGAAGAAGGAGCCAAAACCAUAAUCUUUGUGGAAACUAAAAAGAAAGUGGAAGGUAUUACCCGUUCAAUCAGACGAUAUGGUUGGCCAGCAGUGUGCAUGCAUGGAGAUAAGUCCCAACAAGAGCGGGACUAUGUCUUAAAAGAAUUUAGGAAUGGCAAAGCGACCAUAUUGGUUGCCACUGAUGUUGCUGCCAGAGGAUUAGAGGCACAAGCAGGAUAACAGUUGAUUUAGCCCAAAAUUAAAUGAGCUAAAGAUAUGGCAGAUGUUGUGUUCUAAAAAAAAAGUUUAGGAUGCAGUAUAUUGUCUUGCGGGUGCCUCUAUAUGACCAGUGGAAGAUUUUAACGCCGCCUAAAUCGAUAUUAUUCUGACAAUGUAUUUUCCUCCAAUGCCUCCGUGCAGUGUUAUGAAUUUAAAAAUAAAAAAAAUUAAAAGUUGUGAAGAGAGCUGAGAGGAAGGAUUCCAUUCAUCAAAUGGAAUAAAGUCAGACCAAUAACAACUAUAUCUUCCUAUGGUCGAGCAAUUUAAAAAAUCUGCUGAAGUGUUUGAGUAGACCAUUUGAUGACUAAAUAUCAGUAUGGGUCCACUUAAAGCAAAAGAAGCAGAUAUGCUACUAAUUUGUCUUAAAAGUUACUCUAUUGUGAAUUGAAUCUUGAGCCACGAUUGACACUUCCUGGAUUUUCGUUAGAGACUCGAUCAUGAUGUCGAUGGUAUCAAAUAUGUAGUCAACUAUGACUACCCUAACUCUUCGGAGGAUUACAUUCAUAGGAUUGGCAGGACUGGAAGGUCUGACACCACUGGAACUUCAUAUGCAUUCUUUACGCCCAACAACUUCAAACAAGCUAGAGA
rnacentral:misc_RNA from 1 species